AAGAGCUCUAACUAGACUAACCCAUAUCUUUUUGACAAAGACAUUCUAACCACUUUUUUCAACAUAUUAACAAAAAUGCCAUUAUGAAUUAUUUUUAAUAAAAAGUAAACUAAAAAGAAAAAAUUAUUAAAAUCUAAAAUUCAUGUUUUCUUUUUCACAUUUUUCUCUCGACACUUUACUUCUCUCUUCCUCCAAAACCUAGCCGCCACCUCUCUUCUAAAUUCCGUUCGCCGUAACUCCGACCGCUGCGCUUCCGUCCAGCUUUGUCCACCAGUACCUGUCGCUUCAUCUUUCUCCUCUCUUGUCCUCUCCACCGCUUCUCCCUUUUCCGCUGGAAACUAUCGCUUCUCUCUUCUCUGCCGCUUCUACUUCAUCUUCUUAGGCUUCGCCGCCAGCAUCUAUGUUGGAUUCCGUCACCAACAGCAGCAACGUUGAGGAUUCGGGAGAAGAAAAAGAGUGCCUAGCCGUAGGAUGGCAGUUUGAUGGACUUAACGAUGGGAACAUUCAGGCAUUGCGGGAGAGAUUAGGAGCUGAGAUGUUUGAGGAAGUUCCACUGACGGGAGACAUAGCAUUGACUAAUCCAUUGCCUCGUCGUGCAGAGUUCAAGAUCCCUUAUCUCAAUGAUCACUCAGAAUGAGUGUCUUUAUGAUAUGGUCGUGGUUGCAUUUGGUUUUGAGUCAGAUGUUGCAAGUUUUCUUAUUUAGGAAUGUUAUUGUUUCCACAGAUUUUUUUUGGUGUGAACCAGUUGUUGCAGCUGUUACCACCGACUUUUUUGGUGUGAACCAGUUAUUUUUCCUGAGUGUUAUUGUAACCACAUACUUUUAUUAGAACAUGUAAGACUUGAAUUCUUAGAGAUA